AAACUUUCAACAACGGAUCUCUUGGUUCCGGCAUCGAUGAAGAACGCAGCGAAAUGCGAUAAGUAAUGCGAAUUGCAGAAUUCCGUGAGUCAUCGAAUCUUUGAACGCACAUUGCGCCCUCCGGUAUUCCGGAGGGCAUGCCUGUUCGAGCGUCAUUA
rnacentral:rRNA from 1 species